rnacentral:rRNA from 1 species
GAUGAACGCUGGCGGCGUGCUUAACACAUGCAAGUCGAACGAUGAAGCCCAGCUUGCUGGGUGGAUUAGUGGCGAACGGGUGAGUAACACGUGAGUAACCUGCCCUUGACUCUGGGAUAAGCGCUGGAAACGGCGUCUAAUACCGGAUACGAGCUUCCACCGCAUGGUGAGUUGCUGGAAAGAAUUUCGGUCAAGGAUGGACUCGCGGCCUAUCAGGUAGUUGGUGAGGUAACGGCUCACCAAGCCGACGACGGGUAGCCGGCCUGAGAGGGUGACCGGCCACAUGGGGCUGGAGACACGGCCCGAACCCACCGGGGGGGGAGGGGGGGGGAAUUUUCCAAAGUGGGGGCAGCCAUGUUGCAGAAACCCCGGGGGGGGGACGAAGGCCUUCGGGUGGAAACCCUUUUUUGGCAGGAAAGAAGCAAAAGUGCCGGAACCGGCAAAAAAAGCCCCGGCAAAUUACGU